GAUGAAGAACGUAGCGAAAUGCGAUAAGUAAUGUGAAUUGCAGAAUUCAGUGAAUCAUCGAGUCUUUGAACGCACAUUGCGCCCCCUGGUAUUCCGGGGGGCAUGCCUGUCCGAGCGUCAUUGCCGCCCUCAAGCACGGCUUGUGUGUUGGGCCCCCGCCCCCCGGCUUCGGGGGGCGGGCCCGAAAGGCAGCGGCGGCACCGCGUCCGGUCCUCGAGCGUAUGGGGCUUCGUCACCCGCUCUGUAGGCCCGGCCGGCGCCCGCCGGCGACCCCAAUCAAUCUUUCCAGGUUGACCUCGGAUCAGGUAGGGAUACCCGCUGAACUUAAGCAUAUCAAUAAGCGGAGA
rnacentral:misc_RNA from 1 species